rnacentral:tRNA from 1 species
CGCAGGGUAGAGCUGUUGGCAGCUCGUCGGGCUCAUAACCCGGAGGUCCCAGGUUCGAGUCCUGGCCCUGCUA